AUUGAACGCUGGCGGCGUGCUUAACACAUGCAAGUCGUGCGAGAAAGUCCGCCUCGGUGGAUGAGUAGAGCGGCGCACGGGUGAGUAACGCGUGGAUUAUCUGCCCUGAGGAUCGGGAUAACAGUGGGAAACCGCUGCUAAUACCGGAUACGCUUUGUGGUUUACCUCAAGGGAAAGGUGGCCUCUACUUGUAAGCUACCACCUCAGGAUGAGUCCGCGUCCCAUUAGCUUGUUGGCGGGGUAAUGGCCCACCAAGGCAACGAUGGGUAGCUGGUCUGAGAGGAUGAUCAGCCACACUGGGACUGGAACACGGCCCAGACUCCUACGGGAGGCAGCAGUGGGGAAUAUUGCGCAAUGGGCGAAAGCCUGACGCAGCGACGCCGCGUGAGGGAAGAAGGCCUUCGGGUCGUAAACCUCUGUCAGGAGGGAAGAACCCUGUGAAGUCGAAUAGGCUUUGCAGCUGACGGUACCUCCAGAGGAAGCACCGGCUAACUCCGUGCCAGCAGCCGCGGUAAUACGGAGGGUGCGAGCGUUAAUCGGAAUCACUGGGCGUAAAGCGCACGUAGGCGGCGAACCAAGUCGGGUGUGAAAGCCCUCGGCUCAACCGAGGGAUUGCACUCGAAACUGGCUUGCUAGAGUUCUGGAGAGGGUGGCAGAAUUCCCGGUGUAGGAGUGAAAUCCGUAGAUAUCGGGAGGAAUACCAGUGGCGAAAGCGGCCACCUGGACGGAAACUGGCGCUGAGGUGCGAAAGCGUGGGGAGCAAACAGGA
rnacentral:rRNA from 1 species